rnacentral:rRNA from 1 species
AUGCGCGAGUUUGACCCCCUCAGGUGUAUCAAGUUCAAUAGUCAGGCGUUGGGAGUUGAAUACCUUGGUGCAGCCGAGGAAGAGAUCAUGGGAUGGGAGCAUUGGUCAGGUAAUGUCAAGGUUUUCCAAGUGGAUUUUCUGAUACUGUGCAUCGGAAGGCAUUGUGGGACACCAAUACCAGAAUUUCCAGCAAAUAAAGGACCUGACUUGUUCAUCAAGGGAAAAACAUUGCACUCUAUGGACUGCUCUUGCAUGGAUAAUGUGGCUGAAUUUGUUAAAAGGGAAGAGUGUGAGGAUACUUGGGUCUGGAAAAUCAGCAUUUGA